rnacentral:rRNA from 1 species
GAUGAACGCUAGCGGCAGGCUUAACACAUGCAAGUCGAGGGGCAGCAUGACUAACUUGUUAGUUGAUGGCGACCGGCGCACGGGUGCGUAACGCGUAUAGAAUCUGCCUUGUACAGGAGGAUAGCCUUUAGAAAUGAAGAUUAAUACUCCAUAGUGCUAUUUUUUUGCAUGAUUAAAUAGUUAAAGAUUUAUCGGUACAAGAUGACUAUGCGUCCUAUUAGCUAGAUGGUAAGGUAACGGCUUACCAUGGCUACGAUAGGUAGGGGGUCUGAGAGGAUUAUCCCCCACACUGGUACUGAGACACGGACCAGACUCCUACGGGAGGCAGCAGUGAGGAAUAUUGGUCAAUGGAGGCAACUCUGAACCAGCCAUGCCGCGUGUAGGAAGACUGCCCUAUGGGUUGUAAACUACUUUUAUACAGGAAGAAACACCUCUACGUGUAGAGGCUUGACGGUACUGUAAGAAUAAGCACCGGCUAACUCCG